UACGUAGGGACCAAGCGUUGUUCGGAUUUACUGGGCGUAAAGGGCGCGUAGGCGGCAUGGCAAGUCACUUGUGAAAUCUCCGGGCUUAACUCGGAACGGCCAAGUGAAACUGCCACGCUAGAGUGCAGAAGGGGCAAUCGGAAUUCUUGGUGUAGCGGUGAAAUGCGUAGAGAUCGGCAGGAACACCCAGGGGGAAACCAGCUGCCUGGGCAAGCGCUGACGCUGAGGUGCGAGAGCGUGGGGAGCGAACCGG
rnacentral:rRNA from 1 species